rnacentral:rRNA from 1 species
CCCAUUAUCCGAUUAACUUUGUCGUGCCCUCCACGAUGAUUCCCGGAGCGCUGAUCAUGGACACAUGUCUGCUGUUGACUCGUAACUGGAUGAUCACAGCACUACUCGGCGGCGGAGCCUUUGGGUUACUGUUCUAUCCAGGUAACUGGCCGAUCUUCGGACCAACUCACCUCCCGUUAGUAGUAGAAGGGGUGUUGCUCUCAGUAGCUGACUAUACCGGGUUCCUAUAUGUACGUACCGGUACGCCUGAGUAUGUUCGGUUGAUUGAACAAGGAUCGCUACGUACCUUUGGCGGUCAUACUACGGUGAUUGCUGCAUUCUUUGCGGCUUUUGUAUCCAUGUUAAUGUUCGUUGUUUGGUGGUAUCUGGGAAGAUUCUACUGCACCGCGUUCUACUACGUCAAAGGUCCUAGAGGACGGAUAACAGAAAAGAUGGAUGUUACCGCUUUUGGC